ACUAUGAGAGAAUACAGGGUCUAAUCUCCAGUGUACAUGUCAAAAAGGGGAAUGGGCUGCAGCAUCUAGAGAGGAGACCAUCCUGUAGACCCAUCCUGUUGUUUUACAAAGUGUGGGAAACCACUGAUGAGGUAGGUGUGUUUUGGGUGGAGAAGGAAAGGCAGGGUAGAAGAGAGCGGAAUCCAGCCAGGCAGCCCCCAAUGGAAGAAUAUUCAACUCUAGCUCAACGUGGGGAAGGUAAUGACUUUGAUCCUUCCAGUUACCUUUUCUAGAGGGAAUAUGGAAAGAAUCCAGAGUGGACAAGGGCAGCCUCACAUUAGGACCCCAUCCAAUGGGCAUAUCUGUCACUUUCCAGCACACCAGGACUCUAGGGCGCCAGGAUGGGCAUAGCUGUGGCAGAGGUGAGAGGCAGCCUGUGGGAGGCUGUGAGCCCAGGUGGCCACCUGGUCCUUAUAGCCAUGAGGUUUGCAGGCAGUGCCUCAAGCAUCACAGCAGCUGCAGUGCAGGCACCUGGCUGUGGACAACCUCAUGGGGGUGGCGAGCAGGUGGCCCAAGGUGCCAGGGCCAGCAUGGCAUCCGCAGGGUCAGCUAGUCUUCAGUGCUGCCAAGAAGAGUUUAUGAGCUGCCUCUCCUCUGCUACCAGGAAACAGCCUGAUGGGGUGCGUAGGGACUGAAGUUUCCACAAUUAGCUGGAGGAAGAGGAGAUCUUGAGAAACAGUGGUAAUUUCGCUGUAAUUGUAUGUGUGCCACUCCCCGGCCCUGAAGGGCAUGAGCAAGAAAGACUGAAAGUUGUGAAAUGUACCAGGGAAGACACUGCGGUUCUGUGGUGACGGUGAAAAUGAACGUCUCAAAAGCUGGGUGAUGGCUCAGCUGGACCCAGCAUGUUAGCAACCCGUGUUUGAACAGAAGGAAAUGAAAAAUAAAGUAGAAGGACAAGGGAAGGAAAUUGGGAUCUCUUUUCAUGGAGGCACAGAAUGAAAUGAGGUCUCACCAUAUUGCCCAGGCUGGAGUGCAGUGGCUAUUCACAGGCACGAGCACAGCAUGCUACAGUCUCAAGCCUCCCGAGUAGCUAGGACUACAGGCAAGUGCCAGCGUGCCUGGCAAAGUGGCAUAUGUUUCACCUUAAGAGGCCUUUUCAGAUGCUCGGGAGACUGAGACAGAAUUUCUUAAACAGAGGAGAUGGAGGUUGCAGUGAGCCAAGAUCACACCACUGCAGUCCAGCCUGGUGGAUAGAGCAAGACUCCCUCUCAAAAACAAAAACAAAAAAAAAGAUGUCCUUCAAUAGGUGAGUAGACAAACUGUGGUGCAUCCAUACAAUGGAUGCCUGCGUGCAUUAUUCAUCAAUAAAAAAGAAUGGGCUAUCAAGCCACACAAAAACAUGGACAAAUCUGAACUGCACACUGCAAAGUGAAAGAAACCAGGUUGAGAAGCCUGCAAACUGUAUGAUUCCAUUUAUAUGACAUUCGAAAUGAUGCAAAACUAGAGAAACAGUAAGCAGAUCAGUGAUUGCCAGAGGUUCUGGGGAAGAGGGGAAGGCUUGAAUAGGUGGAGUACAGGGGAUAUAUAUAUAUAUAUAUAUUUUUUUUUUUUUUAACAGAGAAAGGGGCUCACUGUGUCACCCAGGCUGGAAUGCAGUGGCACAAUCACAGCUCCCUGCAGCCUCAAACUCCUGGGAUCAAGCAAUCCUCCCCACUGAGCCUCCGGAGUAGCUGGGACUACAGGUGAGUGUGAUCAUGCCGGGCUAAUUUUCUUUUUCUUUUUGUAGAGACAGGGUCUCAUUGUGUUGCCCAGGCUGAUCUUGAACUUCUGGGCUCAAGCGAUCCUCCUGCCCUGGCCUCACAAAGUGCUGGGAUCACAAGCAUGAGCCACUGCGCCCAGCCUGGGAUUUUUUUAAAGGCAGUGAAACUAUUCUGCAUGAUUCUGUGGUGGUGGAUACAUGACAUUAUGCAUUUGCCAAAACCACAGAAGUUCUCCACACUAAGUUCUCCACACUCAAUGCAUGCAAGCAUAUCAGCUGCAGAGCCAUGCCUCAGGGGACCGACCCCAGCCAGAACCCUCUGAAACUCUCUCCACUCCAGUGGCCCCAUGAUGCCUGUGGCCUCCAUCUCCACCUUUGAUUCUCUCCAUGGGCUCCUUUGUCCCAGGCUCACUGUUUAGCCUCUUCUCUGCCUCCUGGGUCUGCUUUAUGAGUGGCCUCAUAUCUGUGGUCCCGUGGCUGCUGUUCACUACCUUCCUUCCGCGGCUCUCAGCUUCUUUUCCUGCUGCUGGCUCCAUCUACCAAGGCAGAUGUGAUUGACUUGGCUGGUCCCUCACCAUGAGCUCCAUCUCGGGGGGCUGGCCAUGCACCUAGACUGGCUUGCCUUUGGCUCAUGUAGAAGCAGGAUGAUGAGAUCCACAGCAAGCCCACCCAUGCCUAAGAGCUUGCUUCUGGUCACCCUUGCACCCUUGGAGGGACAGGCACUUCUCAUGACCUUUACAACCCAGAAUAACAUCCCCCUGGGAAAUGUCCUAACACUACUCCUCGUCUCCCACAACUGAGAGUUCUAUGCUUCUCCUGUCAUGGUAGAGUAGUGCCCUCUUGUCCAAGGUUUUGCUUUCUGCAGUGUCAGUUACCCAUGGUCACCUGCAUCUGAAAGUACUAAAUGGAAAAUCACAGACAUAAAGACUUUGUAAGUUUUAAAUUGCAUGCUGUUCUGAGUUCUGAAAUCUGCCAUUCGCUCUGUCCUACCUGGGACAUGAAUCAUCCUUUCGUCCAGCAUCUCCACGUUGUAGACGUUCCUAUCCCUUAGUCACUUAGUUAGUGACUUAGUCAUCUCAGUUACCGGAUAGAAAAAAUAUAGUAUAUAUAGGGUUUGGAACUAUCCAAGGUUUCAGGCAUCCAUUGGAAGUCUCGGAACAUAUUCCCCAUGGAGAAGGGGGAAUGACUGUGCUUACAAGGCUGUGUUGUUCUUGCUUCUUUUCUUAUUUGUCUCCCUCUCCAGACUGUAAGCCCCUUGUAUUCAUUUACUAAGGCUGCCAUAAAAACAUGCCACAGGCUGGGUAGUCUAAACAGAAAUUUAUUCCUCACAGUUGUGGAAGGUAGAAGUCCAAGAUCAAGGUAUCCCCAGGGUUGAUUUUUUCGAAGGCCUCCCUCCUUGGCUUAUAGAUGGCCAUCUUCGCCAGGUGUCUUCACAUGUGUGCACGUCUCUGGCUUCAUCUCCUCUUCUUAUGACAUCAGUUAUAGUGGAUUAGGGCCCACUCAUAUGAUUUCACCUUAAUCACUUCUUUAAAGGCCCUGUCUCCACAUACGGUCACACUGUGAGGUACUGAGGGUUAGGACCUCAACAAAGGCAAAAACCAGGUGCUAUGAAUUUUUUUUUUUUUUUUUUGAG
rnacentral:lncRNA from 1 species